UACAGAGGGUGCAAGCGUUAAUCGGAAUUACUGGGCGUAAAGCGUGCGUAGGCGGUUCGUUAAGUCAGCUGUGAAAGCCCCGGGCUCAACCUGGGAACUGCGGUUGAAACUGGCGAACUAGAAUCUGGCAGAGGGGGGUGGAAUUCCACGGUGUAGCAGUGAAAUGCGUAGAGAUGUGGAGGAACACCGAUGGCGAAGGCAGCCCCCUGGGCUGAGAUUGACGCUCAGGCACGAAAGCGUGGGGAGCAAACAGG
rnacentral:rRNA from 1 species